GCCUUGGUAGCUCAGUUGGUUAGAGUGCCAGUCUCAUAAUCUGGAGGUCGUGGGUUCGAUCCCCCCCCGAGGCA